rnacentral:rRNA from 1 species
GAUGAACGCUGGCGGCGUGCCUAAUACAUGCAAGUCGAGCGAACAGACGAGGAGCUUGCUCCUCUGACGUUAGCGGCGGACGGGUGAGUAACACGUGGAUAACCUACCUAUAAGACUGGGAUAACUUCGGGAAACCGGAGCUAAUACCGGAUAAUAUAUUGAACCGCAUGGUUCAAUAGUGAAAGACGGUUUUGCUGUCACUUAUAGAUGGAUCCGCGCCGCAUUCGCUAGUUGGUAAGGUAACGGCUUACCAAGGCAACGAUGCGUAGCCGACCUGAGAGGGUGAUCGGCCACACUGGAACUGAGACACGGUCCAGACUCCUACGGGAGGCAGCAGUAGGGAAUCUUCCGCAAUGGGCGAAAGCCUGACGGAGCAACGCCGCGUGAGUGAUGAAGGUCUUCGGAUCGUAAAACUCUGUUAUUAGGGAAGAACAAAUGUGUAAGUAACUAUGCACGUCUUGACGGUACCUAAUCAGAAAGCCACGGCUAACUACGUG